rnacentral:rRNA from 1 species
AUAACGGUCCUAAGGUAGCGAAAUUCCUUGUCAGGUAAGUUCUGACCCGCACGAAUGGCGUAACGAUUUGGGCGCUGUCUCAACAGCCCACCCGGCGAAAUUGUAGUACUGGUGAAGAUGCCAGUUACCCGCAACUAGACGGAAAGACCCCAUGGAGCUUUACUGUAGCUUAAUACUGAGGAUUGGUAAUUGAUGUACAGGAUAGGUGGGAGACAUGGAAACAUUGGCGUCAGCCAGUGCGGAGUCACCCUUGGGAUACCACCCUUCAAUUGCUGGUUUUCUAACCUGCGGCCGUGAAUCCGGUCGGGGGACACUGUUAGGUGGGCAGUUUGACUGGGGCGGUCGCCUCCAAAAAGGUAACGGAGGCGCUCAAAGGUUCGUUCAGCACGGACGGAAAUCGUGCAGUGAGUGUAAACGCAUAAACGAGCCUAACUGCGAGACCGACGGGUCGAGCAGUAACGAAAGUUGGAGUUAGUGAUCCGGCGGUAUGUGAGUGGAAAUGCCGUCGCUCAACGGAUAAAAGCUACCCUGGGGAUAACAGGCUGAUCUCCCCCAAGAGUCCACAUCGACGGGGAGGUUUGGCACCUCGAUGUCGGCUCAUCGCAUCCUGGGGCUGAAGUAGGUCCCAAGGGUUGGGCUGUUCGCCCAUUAAAGCGGUACGCGAGCUGGGUUCAGAACGUCGUGAGACAGUUCGGUCCCUAUCUGUCGUGGGCGCAGGAUAUUUGAAGGAAGCUGUCCCUAGUACGAGAGGACCGGGAUGGACGCACCUCUGGUGCACCAGUUGUCACGCCAGUGGCACAGCUGGGCAGCUAAGUGCGGAAAGGAUAAACGCUGAAAGCAUCUAAGCGUGAAGCCACCUCCAAGAUAAGAUAUCCCACAGCGUAAGCUGGUAAGACCCCUCAAGGACUAUGAGGUUGAUAGGCUGCAUGUGUAAGUGUUGUGAGACAUUGAGCUUGGCAGUACUAAUAGGUCGAGGGCUUGACCAU